UUUUUUUUUUUUUUUUUUUAAUGUAUACGAAUACACUGUUGCUGUCUUCAGACACAGCAGAAGAGGGUAUCAGAUCCCAUUACAGAUUGUUGUGAGUCACCAUGUCAUUGCUGAGAAUUGAACUCUGGACCUCUGGAAGAACAGUCAGUGUUCUAAAUGGCUGGGCCAAUCUGUCUCUCCAGCCCAGAGAGUCUGUAUCUUUAAAAAAGAGAGAGAAAAGGAAAAAAUAGUUCUGAUGCUUUACAAACCAUGCAAUAGGCUAGAUUUGGCUUUUGUUUUUGUCAGUCUUUGAUUUAUAUCAUUUCCCAAGUUGAAAACCAACCAAAAAUUGAAUACAUUUCACAUUUAAGAAUGUCUUGGAAUCUUAAUUUUCAAGACAUCAUUGGAGAUCCCAUAUUGGAAAUUUACAUAAUAUCUAAGGAAUUAGGAAUCACUAUUUUUAAAAGUCUUAAAGUCCCAGUACUGAGAGUUCAUAGCUAGCCUAUAUAUAUAUAGUACAUGUGAACCUGUCCCUUAAGGAAGGAAAGAAAGAAGGUUAAAACACAAGGGAUUGGGGUGUAGCUCAGUUGGGAGGGUGGCCUGCCUGGUAUGCACAAGGCCUUGGGAUAAACUGUGAUAGAGUGCUUUUUAUCCUAGUACUCAGGAGGUAGAGACAGGAGGAUUAGAACUGGAUUACAUACAGUUUGAGGCAACUAGGGUUAGCAUAAAGUGAGUUGCUUAUGGAGCAGAAAAAAGCAUUCAAGUGCUUUUGAGGUAAAAUAGCAGAUAGCUCACAUAGGGAUUGAAAGUGGUUGUGAAGAGAAGUGUAGACAUUUUAAAGUAAUAUAGGAAAUGGGAGGGCAUUCCUUUCUAGUACUAUUAUUUUGUUAGUAUUAGCCUUUGUCAUAUGGAAAUUUUUUCCCCUAGAUAGUUAUAAACAGGUCCAGGUAAUGGCAAUGUUUUAAUUGAAUCAACUUUUUGUUUUCUUUAACUGAACACAGUGCUGAUAAUACUUGGGAACCAGAAGAAAAUUUAGAUUGUCCAGAAUUAAUUGAAGCAUUUCUUAAUUCUCAAAAAGCUGGUAAAGAAAAAGAUGGUACAAAAAGGAAAUCUUUAUCUGACAGUGAAUCUGAUGAUAGCAAAUCGAAGAAGAAGAGAGAUGCUGUAAGUAUGAAGUACUGCCCAUUAGACUGGAUCUUAUCAAUAGUCACUGACUUAAAUUUUAAUUGUUUUGAACUUUUUUUCCAAGUAGAAUACUUUUUAUUUAGUUCAUAUUUUAUUCUUUAAGUUAGCAUCCCAAGUGGUGGGUUUCGUUAUGGUAUUUUCAUACAUAGUUACCAUUAUACUUUGUUGUAACUCAUCUCCCUAUCCCUUCCCCUUUGUUAGUGUUCUUUUGAGGGGUGGGUCUCAUGUAGCAGAGAGUGGCCUUGCACCACUCAUCCUGUUACCUCUGACUUUUGCUUAAGACUAGGUGAGGUGUCUUAAAGACAGGGUUUCUCAUUGUAGCUCUGCCUAGCUUCAAAGUCAGAAACCUGCCUGCCUUUGCCUCCGGUGUGCUGGAAUUAAAGGCAUUCACUUUCAUACCCAGCUCAGAUGAGGCCCUCUUGGCCUGUAUAUCUGUAUAGCUCAUGCAUGCUCAGUGUUCCCAGAGGCUAGAUAAUGCUAUCAGAUGCCUUGGGAAUGAAAUUAUAUGUAGUGUGGACUACCAUUGUAGGUGCUGGCAACUGAGUCUUCCGUAAACGCUUCUAGCUGUUCCAACCCAAGGAUACUUUUAAACUCUAAGGGGGGAGGAGGGACACACCUUUUAUAGAGCGAGGCAUGGUGUCACUGAUAUGGUAAUCUCCACCCUUAGCUUUAAACAGAUUGAACUUACCCUCCUAUUGGCCUAGUGUGAUCAUUGGAGGAAAUUAGACAAGCAUUCAGCACACAUUAAGUUGGUAAAAGACUGAGUUUCAAGUGUGGUCAUAUCAGCUAGGUAACAAGAACUUUGUGUAGAGGGCAUUAAAUCUUAAUGUCGACCCUGUUGAGUCUAGAUAAUGAUUCAGUUGUAUGGAUGAGAAACAAGAUUGACUACACUGGAGAUCUGAAAGUAAAGUGUAUGCAUAAGGGAGAUAUCUUUGUAGUAGUGCCUAAGCUAGGUUGAGCCAGCAGUAUUCUAAUACAGCCUAAUUCAUAUUGAUACACUGCCAGAAACCUAUGACAUAGGGACUAAUUGUUCCUGAUAGAUAAUAAACCUGAACCACAGAGCUUAAUUAACUUUCCUAGACCUAAAGGGCUGGAGUUGUUAAUCUAACCCAGUCUGACUUUAGAGUCUCGUUACACUGAUGUGAAACUUCAGUAGUUUUAGUUUGUUGAUAUCAUCACUUCUCAAAUAUUUAUACUCAAAUUACAUAGGCUAUAAUUAUCAAUAUUUGUUGUUUUAGAAAUUGAAAAACAGCCAGAGUAUGGGGCAUGGCUUUAGCUCCAAUACUGGGAAGACAGAGGCAGGCAGGUCUCCUGAGCUCCAGAUCAGCCUGGUCUAUAAGGAGGACCCCUAAGGGAGUUGGGGGCAGACAUUUUAGGGCUAAAGGACUGGUUAAGAGCAUGUUCUGCUCUUCCAGAGGACCCACUUGGUAGCUCAUAGCAGUCUGUAACUCCAGUUCCAAAGACUCCCACACAUUGAUUUUUCUGACUUCCAUAGGCACCAGGGACACACAAGGUACACAGACAACAUAUAGGUAAAAUAAUUAAACACAUAAAUAAUUUUAAGAUAAUAGUUUCCAAGUACUAGUAAUUAAAGAACAUGAACUACUCUUGUAGCACUUAUGUGGGUACUCAGAAUUGUCUAACUCUACCUUCGGUUGGGGGAGGGGGGCUGGUUAAGUGCCCUUUCUGGUGUCCAAAAGCACCAGUACUUACAGGUGCUCAGAAAAGUACACAUGGUUUUAAAAAAAUAAAUAGCAAUACC
rnacentral:lncRNA from 1 species